CAUGCAAGUCGAACGAGAAACACCUUCGGGUGUGAGUACAGUGGCGGACGGGUGAGUAACGCGUAGGAAUCUACCUCUAGGUGGGGGACAACUCGGGGAAACUCGAGCUAAUACCGCAUAAUACCUAAGGGUCAAAGUGGGGGAUCUUCGGACCUCACGCCGAGAGAGGAGCCUGCGUUAGAUUAGUUAGUUGGUGGGGUAAUGGCCUACCAAGGCGACGAUCUAUAGCUGGUCUGAGAGGACGAUCAGCCACACUGGAACUGAGACACGGUCCAGACUCCUACGGGAGGCAGCAGUAGGGAAUCUUAGUCAAUGGGCGCAAGCCUGAACUAGCGAUGCCGCGUGUGUAAAGAAGGCCUUAGGGUUGUAAAGCACUUUCAGUCGUGAAGAAAAUCUCGAGAUUAAUACCCUCGGGCCUUGACGUUAACGACAGAAGAAGGUCCGGCUAACUCCGUGCCAGCAGCCGCGGUAAUACGGAGGGAUCGAACGUUAAUCGGAAUUACUGGGCGUAAAGCGCGCGUAGGCGGUCUGAUAAGUGGGAUGUGAAAGCCCUGGGCUCAACCUGGGAACUGCAUUCCAAACUGUCAGACUAGAGUAUGGUAGAGGGUGGUAGAAUUUCCUGUGUAGCGGUGAAAUGCGUAGAUAUAGGAAGGAAUACCGAUGGCGAAGGCAGCCACCUGGACCAAUACUGACGCUGAGGCGCGAAAGCGUGGGGAGCAAACAUGAUUAGAUACCCUGGUAGUCCACGCCGUAAACGAUGAGAACUAGCCGUUGGGGUCUCAUGCAAGUCGG
rnacentral:rRNA from 1 species